UACGUAGGUGGCGAGCGUUGUCCGGAUUUACUGGGCGUAAAGAGCGCGCAGGCGGUCGUCCAAGUCGCGUGUGAAAGCCCCCGGCUCAACUGGGGAGGGUCACGCGAUACUGAUCGACUCGAAGGCAGGAGAGGGAAGCGGAAUUCCUGGUGUAGCGGUGAAAUGCGCAGAUAUCAGGAAGAACACCCGUGGCGAAGGCGGCUCUCUGGGACGGUACUGACGCUGAGACGCGAAAGCGUGGGGAGCGAACAGG
rnacentral:rRNA from 1 species